UACGUAGGGGGCUAGCGUUGUCCGGAAUCAUUGGGCGUAAAGCGCGUGUAGGCGGUCCGGUAAGUCCGCUGUGAAAGUCGGGGGCUCAACCCUCGAAUGCCGGUGGAUACUGUCGGGCUAGAGUGCGGAAGAGGCGAGUGGAAUUCCUGGUGUAGCGGUGAAAUGCGCAGAUAUCAGGAGGAACACCAAUUGCGAAGGCAGCACUCUGGGACGUGACUGACGCUGAGACGCGAAAGCGUGGGGAGCAAACAGG
rnacentral:rRNA from 1 species